GCGUGCGUCCUAUUAGCUAGUUGGUGAGGCAAUGGCUCACCAAGGCUACGAUGGGUAGGGGUUCUUAGUGGAAGAUCCCCCACACUGGCACUGAGAUACGGGCCAGACUCCUACGGGAGGCAGCAGUAGGGAAUAUUGGUCAAUGGGCGAAAGCCUGAACCAGCCAUGCCGCGUGCAGGAUGACAGCUCUCUGAGUUGUAAACUGCUUUUGUACAGGAGCAAAACAAUCCCUGCGGGGGUUCUUGAGAGUACUGUAAGAAUAAGCACCGGCUAAUUCCGUGCCAGCAGCCGCGGUAAUACGGAAGGUGCAAGCGUUAUCCGGUUUUAUUGGGUUUAAAGGGUGCGUAGGCGGCUUAUUAAGUCAGUUGUGAAAUCCUAGUGCUUAACGCUAGAACUGCAAUUGAUACUAUUAGGCUUG
rnacentral:rRNA from 1 species